CAGUAGCCGCGGUAAUACCGAGGGUGCGAGCGUUAAUCGGAUUUACUGGGCGUAAAGCGUGCGUAGGCGGCUUUUUAAGUCGGAUGUGAAAUCCCUGAGCUUAACUUAGGAAUUGCAUUCGAUACUGGGAAGCUAGAGUAUGGGAGAGGAUGGUAGAAUUCCAGGUGUAGCGGUGAAAUGCGUAGAGAUCUGGAGGAAUACCGAUGGCGAAGGCAGCCAUCUGGCCUAAUACUGACGCUGAGGUACGAAAGCAUGGGGAGCAAACAGGAUUAGAUACCCCUGUAGUCCCUGUAUCUUAUAC
rnacentral:rRNA from 1 species